AAAGUAAUUUUAAAAUAAAGUAAGGCAAAUUUUGAGAAGGAAAGGCUAAAGAGGAAGAUGGAGGGGAAAGAGGGGAGAAAACUGGUCCUACCUUGACCAUUAAACAUGGAUUAAGUGGGGGACAUGAUCUGGAACAGAGAGUUUGGGCUCGUACAGGAGAUUAAGUUUUGACACUCAACUGGUUUUACAAUUUUUAAAAUAUUGGAGUAGAGGCUUGUUCAGCAAUGACUCAUACCACUCUGCCUCAGGGAGGAGUACAUCUCUCUGCUUAUUUAUUCGUGCUGACUGAAAGUGCACAGGUAAAUGUUCAAAACUCCAGACAUCAGUUAGAAGCCUGAGUGUUUUGUCACCUUUUAAAUGAUCUUGUUCUCACAGCAAGAAGAACAUAUCCCAGAAUGUCUCUGCCACUCUAGCUGGAGUCCUCUAAGAAGGCAAAUGGAAUACAGCUAUGUCUUACUAAUGUGGCUACUGUGGGUAGUACCAAGUACUCUAGUACUUGGAGCACUGUAAUAAACUCUCACAGCUCACUAACACUAAACACUCAGUUCACUCACACAUGGCAACUGGAUGUCUAACAUCAAUGUGCCAGCAUAGUUGAGUUCUGGUGAGUUUUUCUUCUAGGUUAUAGUCUCCUGUUCUUUCAUUUUGUCCAUUCAUAAGAGAAAGAAGGAUGUAACAUUCUCCGAGAUCCCUUUCGGCUUUCUAUUGUCUUCUAUGAAAUGAAUGACCCGCCCUUUCCCUUUAGGAUACAGUGCCAUUCUGACGACAGCACAAGGCCUAGAGAGCAGAGAGGCCUUUCUCUGUUUUUUACAAAAUGACUGGAAGCAGGAUCUGGGGAACUGAGUGAGCCAUGGUGUGAGCACCGCUAUGCCAACUGCAUGGGAUGAGGGAAGCCUCAAUGUAUUGUGGAAAGGGCAUGAAGUCCACAGGUAAAACAAAAGAAAUGCACCCAAAAACUGCCUUUCAGCCUCCGCUACUACACGAUGUGAAUGAGGACAAACAGCUGGAUGGCUAUGAUCUUCAGUUCCUUUUGCUAUAAACUGGGGUUCACAAAUCUCUCAUAGUAGGUAGUAAAAUAUUUAAAAUACAAGGAGGUAUACCUGCAUAACUUGCCAUUAUUAAAUAAGUUAACUUGGGUUUAUGCAUCAGCCAAACCUCUUCAUCUGGGACUCUCGGCACUAUGCAAUGGGAAGUAAUUAAACAUGUCCCUUUUCUGGUUCCAUCCAGUCUCUAAAGAGAUGAAAGGGCUGUGUGGCCCCUAUAUAGAACAAGAUCAUAUUAAUCAACUAAAUUACAGUGGAUGGUUGCUGUGUCUGGAGCAGUGUGUUAGGGCCUGUGAAAAUUAUUUUUAAAUUGUGAAAAAAGUUCAUAAUUUCAUUUAAGGGUCAUAAACAGAUGCAUAAAAGAGGUGAAGAAUGCUCAGGAAAGGAAAAAUGUCUAAUCAAAGAAAGCUAUCGAGAUAGGCAGAGAUGACUGGACUCAGUCACUCAAGGAGGAUUUGGAUCAAAGGAAGAAAAAAGGUUUGAAGACUAGAGUAGCAAAAUGCAAUAGGGAAACUGUUUAGUGGGAGAGAGACUGUUAUAGAAAAAUAUGUACUUCUUUCCUAGCUCCUUCAGGGGCCUAGUAAUCUCAUAGCUAUGUAUCCCCACCAUUCUUCCCUUGAAGGCUCUUGUGCUGUCAUUCAUGCAUGGUGGGGAUUAGAUGUAGAACUGCCUUCCAAAGGACAGAUCCUAAAAUAAAAGUCAAACUGCUCUCCACUCAGGAAGGCUUUAGAACACGCUACAGAUGCUAUCCCAUAAUCCAGGGCUUCCCGAGAAAGACUGAUUUUUCUGUGGAGACCCGAGGACAGACACGUGCAUGCUUUCUGGGCUGUUGGUCCAGAGGUAGGACAGAGUUGUUUUUUUCAAGUUCAUUUUUGUGAUCACUACAAGAAAGUACUAGAGGCUGAAGAUUGAGCUUUGUGAUGCUGGAGGCAUUGCUCAGUGACCUCGAGUUGCUUACCUACCUUCCCAAGUCUCGUGCUUCUCUACUUCAAAGUUAAUAUUCCAUGUGCUGUCUGUAAUGUGGACUGUCACUAUUGCAUUAUUCAUGAAGGAAAACAUACAUUAAUAUUCGCUUCUGUUAAUAUUCACUUAGAAACAAACUUCACCAUACGUGUGCACAGCAUUUUUGUGCCACUUAGUUUUCUUGUCUACUGGUAUUGAACCAUGAAAAUGUCCCUUACAGACAAGACUCACAGUGAAACUUGACCCUUGCCAGACAGAAGCCUCUGACAUAGAGAUAUGCAAGAAAAGGAAUGUCCAAGCAAAACCAGACAGAUUUGCUAGUUUAUUUAGAAAGCUUCUCUUUUAACAAGAAUUUACUAAGCCCCUUAAUAAUUACUUCUCAAUGUAUACAUAAAUCACCCACUCAAGACGGGUAUUUAAAAUGGUUUUUCAUUGUAUAUCUGGAUUCUCUUCUCUUAAAAAGCUUCUCAAGAAGAUCAAAGAAUUCCUGCAAAGGAAAGCUAAUGUCUCUGAGGAAACUCCAGCGGGAUGUUCAGGAAAAGUGCCUUUAACACAGUUUAGAUGGUACAGUAUAACCUGAGAAAACAUGUGGGAUGAUUUUCUAAUCUGAGUUCUACACUUAAAACAUAUAUAGAGAGUCAUAACGAUUCUUUAGCCACAAACUUUCCAAGUGGUUUUUCAAAAAUCAGAAUUUAAGCUAACGAACAGCAUGGUAAGUAAAGUACUUGCUGCAUAAGCGGCAGAACCCGAGUUUGGAUCCCUAGCACCCAGGGAAGGCUGUGCAUAGCAAAUACAGAUCUGGGAUCUAGCAGUGAGGAAUAGAGAUGGAUCUUGAGGUAGAUCUCAAGGUCACUGGCAAGCAGUCUAGCUAAAAUGGUGGGUGAUUUCCAAGUUCAAUUAGGAGCCCUGACUAAAGAAGCAAUUGACAAUAUCUUAAUAUCUGCCUCUGGUCUUCAUAUAUAUAU
rnacentral:sRNA from 1 species